rnacentral:ncRNA from 2 species
UUCUUAUCAAGAGAGGUCGAGGGACUGGCCCUGUGACGCCUCAGCAACCAGCAAUCGUAAAUAUUGCCAAGGUGCUAAUUCCAUCAAGCUAUUUAGCUUGAUAGAUAAGAA